GCAUCUGUGCAUGCAGCAUAUCAAUAAGCGGAGGAAAAGAAACUAACAAGGAUUCCCUUAGUAACGGCGAGUGAAGCGGGAAGAGCUCAAAUUUGAAAUCUUCAAGGUUUUACCUUGACGAAUUGUAGUUUAAAGAAGUGUUUUCUGCUGAAGUUUUGGUAAAAGUUCUUUGGAAUAGGACAUCAUAGAGGGUGAGAAUCCCGUAUUUGACCAUUAUUUUCAGCUUUGUGGUACACUUCCAAAGAGUCGGAUUGUUUGGGAAUGCAGUCCAAAAUGGGUGGUAAAUUUCAUCUAAAGCUAAAUAUUGGCGAGAGACCGAUAGCGAACAAGUACCGUGAGGGAAAGAUGAAAAGAACUUUGAAAAGAGAGUUAAACAGUACGUGAAAUUGUCAAAAGGGAAGCGUUUGACACCAGUGUUGUUUUUCUGAAAAUCAAUUAAAGAACUGUUUAUGCUAAGCUUGUUUAGACUUUAUCAGCUAAUCUGUUUAGUUUUGAGCUUUUCUUUAAUGCACUUUUCAGUUAACAAGUCAACAUCAAUUUCUUUUGCUGUAAAAAAGCUUGAGGAAGGUGGCUUGAGAUUCGUCUUAAGUGUUUAUAGCCUCUUGCCUAUGCAGUCGGAGAGAUUGAGGUCUGCAGCGUAGAUCCUUCGGGGCUAAAUGCAUUUGUGCUAAGUUAUAGCAUUUUAUAGACAACUUGUUGACUAUGAUUUGUCUUGUAGCUUACUCGCUUAUGUUAUUUUACCUACGCUUAGGAUGUUGAGCGCAUGUCUCUCUCU
rnacentral:rRNA from 1 species